rnacentral:rRNA from 1 species
GUGACCAUAUACUGCAGUUCGAACGGACUUACUCAUUCUUUACGAUUGAGAGCGGUUAGUGGCGGACUGGUGAGUAACACGUAAGCAACCUGCCUAUCAGAGGGGAAUAACAGUGAGAAAUCAUUGCUAAUACCGCAUAUGCUAACAGUAUCGCAUGAUACAGUUAGGAAAGGAGCAAUCCGCUGAUAGAUGGGCUUGCGUCUGAUUAGCUAGUUGGUGGGGUAACGGCCUACCAAGGCGACGAUCAGUAGCCGGACUGAGAGGUUGAACGGCCACAUUGGGACUGAGAUACGGCCCAGACUCCUACGGGAGGCAGCAGUCGGGAAUAUUGCGCAAUGGAGGAAACUCUGACGCAGUGACGCCGCGUAUAGGAAGAAGGUUUUCGGAUUGUAAACUAUUGUCGUUAGGGAAGAUACAAGACAGUACCUAAGGAGGAAGCCCCGGCUAACUAUGUGCCAGCAGCCGCGGUAAUACGUAGGGGGCAAGCGUUAUCCGGAAUUAUUGGGUGUAAAGGGUGCGUAGACGGAGAAACAAGUUGGUUGUGAAAUCCCUCGGCUCAACUGAGGAACUGCAACCAAAACUAUUUCCCUUGAGUGUCGGAGAGGAAAGUGGAAUUCCUAGUGUAGCGGUGAAAUGCGUAGAUAUUAGGA